AGUUAUUAAAAUUAUUUCUUUUUGGUGGUAAAUGAAUUCCUUCCAGUUAAUCUCGAUGAUAAAUUUGAAGAUAUGUCUUCACCUGUGCUUUUGAUUUUACUGGCUACUGUGACAGUAGAAGUUUUCAAAUAUUGGAUUGCUUCAAAAGAAAACCUCAGCAAAUCUAAGCACAAAGAAAACCUUCAAAAGAGGGCCUAGAAGUCAUAUUUGCUAUUUUAAUUUAAGAUAAUAGUCAAGUAAACAAAGAAUAAGACAUAAUAUUCUGAUAUUUCAGUUAUAGAUUGUUCCUUAUACCCGAGAGUUUGUAAUUUUCUUAAAAAAAUUACACUUUCAUGUCCAUUGUAUCAUUAAUAUUCCUAAUUCAUAUCUUUGUUUGGAUUAACUCUUCCCUUCUUAGAAAGGUAAUAUUAAAUGGAAUGAAAUCAUAAAACAAGCAAAGAAUGGACACUAGUGGUUCCCCCUCAAUGUGAGAUGUGUUUGCUGGUUUUCACUAUAAUGGAGAGCAAGAGUACUAGGUUUCUUCAGGCCUCUCCCACAC
rnacentral:lncRNA from 1 species